rnacentral:ncRNA from 5 species
UGGAAUGUAAGGAAGUGUGUG